GAUGAACGCUGGCGGCGUGCCUAACACAUGCAAGUCGAGCGAAGCGGGGACGGGUGAGUAACACGUGGAUAACCUCCUAUCUGACUGGGAUAACUUCGGGAAACCGGAGCUAAACCGGAUACUUAUAGAUGGAUCCGUGCUGGCUUAGCUAGUUGGUCAGGUAACGGCUUACCGAGGCAACGAUGCAUGGCCGACUGGAGAGGAGGAGCGGCCACACUGGAACGGAGACAUGGUCCAGAGGCCCACGGGAGGCAGCAGUAGGGAAUCUGGCGCAAUUGGAGAAAGCCUGACGGAGCAACGCCGCGUGGAGGAGUAAGGGCUUCGGAUCGUAAAACUCUGUUAUUAUGGAAGCGGUACCUGAUCAGGAAGCCACGGCUAACUACGUGCCAGCAGCCGCGGUAAUUC
rnacentral:rRNA from 1 species